GACGAACGCUGGCGGCGUGCUUAACACAUGCAAGUCGAACGGAGUGGCGAACGGGUGAGUAACACGUGGGUGACCUGCCCUGCACUUCGGGAUAAGCCUGGGAAACUGGGUCUAAUACCGGAGAGUGUGGGAUGGGCCCGCGGCCUAUCGGCUUGUUGGUGGGGGAAUGGCAUACCAAGGCGGCGCCGGGUAGCCGGCCUGAGAGGGUGGACGGCGACAUUGGGACUGCGACACGGCUCAGACUCGUACGGGGGGCAGCAGGGGGGAAUAUUGCACAAUGGUCGGAAGUCUGAUGCAGCGACGCCGCGUGGGGGAUGACGGCCUUCGGGUUGUAAACUCCUUUCACCAUCGACGCGGUAGAUGGAGAAGAAGCACCGGCUAACUACGUGCCAGCAGCCGCGGUAAUAC
rnacentral:rRNA from 1 species